rnacentral:rRNA from 1 species
AUUCCAGCUCCAGUAGCGUAUAUUAAAGUUGUUGCAGUUAAAAAGCUCGUAGUUGGAUUUCUGGCGUGGUGCGCCCGGCCCGAUACCGCUAAGGUGUCGAGUGCCGGCGCGCGCCUGCCAUCCUUCCGGAGAGCGUGCCUACCCUUCACUGGGCCGGGUACGCGAUCUGGAUCGUUUACUUUGAAAAAAUUAGAGUGUUUAAAGCAGGCUUACGCUUCUGAAUACAUUAGCAUGGAAUAAUAAGAUAGGACUUUGGUUCUAUUUUGUUGGUUUCUAGAACUAAAGUAAUGAUUGGUAGGGACAGUUGGGGGUGCUAGUAUUUAACGGCCAGAGGUGAAAUUCUUGGAUUCGUUAAAGACUAACUAAUGCGAAAGCAUACACCAAGGAUGUCUUCAUCG